GUCGCAAGCUUACCCUGUGAAGGUCUCAUAGUAAGCAAAAUGGGUAAAUCCCAAAACGUCAGGUCGAGGUGUAGCUCACGAGGUGGGAAGAAAUGGGCUACAUUUUCUAUAUCAGAAUAAUACGAACAGCACUAUGAAACUAGUGCUCGAAGGUGGAUUUAGUAGUAAAAAACAAAUAGAGAGUCUUUUUGAACCAGGCUCUGAGACGCGCACACACCGCCCGUCACUCUCCCCAUUUUAAAUUUAUAACCAUUUAAGUAAAAAAAUAACCCAGAAAGCGGGGAGGCAAGUCGUAACAUG
rnacentral:rRNA from 1 species